rnacentral:lncRNA from 1 species
AUGUGCGGGAUUGGAAGGGUGCCCCAUAGCCCCAUGGCUCGCCUCACAUCCCCUUGCAGGGUUGAGGUGCUGGGAGCGGGGGGGAGGGGGUGCGACCCCCCCACCAGGUGCAGGUGGUUGGGGUUUGGAGGAGGCAUUGCUGUGGGGCACGGCGCAAAGUGUGUGGGGGGGGUGCUCUGCAGUGUCUGCAGCACCCGGAGUGCCCCCCAGGUCCUUGGGGUAAAGUGUGGGGGGGGGGGGCUGUGGGUGGAGGGGAUGGGAGAGCACUGCUGGCAUCUGGGGGGGGUGCAGCGUCACCACCCGCAUCCCGGGGAUGUCCAUGCCACCCCCAGGGACCACCUCCAUCCCAUAGACCUCCAUGCCCAUCCCCACCCCACAGACGCCCACCGGAGACCACCUCCAUCCCUGGACACGUGGGCUGAGCUAUGGGGACCCAAUGGGUGGCACCCCCUGUGCCCACCGCGGUGCCACCCAAGCUCCGUUGUGACAGCACCCGGGGCUGCGCUGCUGGAGGGCACCGUCCCCCUGCUUCACCCCCGUGCCAUUUUGGGGGCCGCAAACCCCCUGGUCUCCUUCAAACGAACGGCAGCGCCGGGAAGGAAAUUGAAGCCAUUAUUCUUCCCUCUCGCCCUCCAUGCCCACGAAGCUCACCCGCUUGACAUGCUAAUCACAGCUAACGAGGGAGGGAGCCCAUUCCCCACGUCAGCCCGGCGCAGCUGGCGUGGCCCCGCCGAAGCCCCCCCGGGGCUCUCAGCCCUGCCACCCUCAUCCCUGACCCCACUGCGGCACGGGGAGGGGACGGGGGCCGGUGCAGGCGUCCCCCCGUGGCGGUGUCCCCGCUGCGGGGAGGGCCCCAGCUGCAGCGCUGCUUUUCCCAGAGGAAGGGCCAGGCCCUGGGAAGCUAUUUCCCCCCCUCCCCGUGCUCCUUCCGCUCCUCCUGCGGUGACUCAGGCUCCGGGCGGGAUGGUGAGCGCGGUGCCGGCGGACCCCCGCCCCGCUUCGGGGUCCAGCUGA